GCCCUCUUAGCUCAUUGGUAGAGCGUUUGCCUAGUAAGCAAAAGGUAGCAGGUUCGAUCCCUGCAGGGGGCA
rnacentral:tRNA from 1 species